CUAAGGGACAAAGAAGAUCUAAUAGAAAUGUUAAAGCCAACAGCCUCGCUUUUGCCUCGCACUGACGCAGGGAAGGGCCUAUCCUUACAAGCUACAAGGGAUAAAAGGCCUUUGAAAGCAGCAAGCAGGAGUAGACCCCUGGAAGCAGAAAGGGGAAAUAGGUUCAAAACUUCUCAACAAAAACAGGUUAAAGAAAAGGAGUCUCUCCAAGGAAAUGCAAGGAGGGAAGAGGCUUCAACAGAAGUUGGAAGGAGAAGCAGACACUUGCGAAAGGAAGCUAAAAGUGAGAGAAGAGUUGAGUCACGGCCGAGAGAAGCCACAAGGCA